rnacentral:rRNA from 1 species
UACGAAGGGGGCUAGCGUUGUUCGGAUUUACUGGGCGUAAAGCGCACGUAGGCGGAUCUUUAAGUCAGGGGUGAAAUCCCAAGGCUCAACCUUGGAACUGCCUUUGAUACUGGGGAUCUCGAGUCCGGAAGAGGUGAGUGGAACUGCGAGUGUAGAGGUGAAAUUCGUAGAUAUUCGCAAGAACACCAGUGGCGAAGGCGGCUCACUGGUCCGGUACUGACGCUGAGGUGCGAAAGCGUGGGGAGCAAACAGG